AACGAACGCUGGCGGCAUGCCUAACACAUGCAAGUCGAGCGAGACCUUCGGGUCUAGUGGCGCACGGGUUCGUAACGCGUGGGAACCUGCCCUUAGGUUCGGAAUAACUCCCCGACAGGGGUGCUAAUACCGGAUAAUGUCUUCGGACCAAAGAUUUAUCGCCUUUGGAUGGGCCCGCGUUGGAUUAGCUAGUUGGUAGGGUAAAAGCCUACCAAGGCGACGAUCCAUAGCUGGUCUGAGAGGAUGAUCAGCCACACUGGGACUGAGACACGGCCCAGACUCCUACGGGAGGCAGCAGUGGGGAAUAUUGGACAAUGGGCGAAAGCCUGAUCCAGCAAUGCCGCGUGAGUGAUGAAGGCCUUAGGGUUGUAAAGCUCUUUUAACCGGGAUGAUAAUGACAGUACCGGGAGAAUAAGCUCCGGCUAACUCCGUG
rnacentral:rRNA from 1 species